rnacentral:rRNA from 1 species
UACGUAGGGUGCGAGCGUUAAUCGGAAUUACUGGGCGUAAAGCGUGCGCAGGCGGUUUUGUAAUCCAGAUGUGAAAUCCCCGGGCUUAACCUGGGAAUGGCAUUUGGGACUGCAAGGCUGGAGUGCGGCAGAGGAGACUGGAAUUCCUGGUGUAGCGGUGAAAUGCGCAGAUAUCAGGAGGAACACCGGUGGCGAAGGCGGGUCUCUGGGCCGAUACUGACGCUGAGGAGCGAAAGCGUGGGGAGCGAACAGG